rnacentral:sRNA from 1 species
GUGUACGAGGAGUGGACGCGUGGUACAUGCCGAUUCCGAGCACCGGCCACGCCCGCCUGACAGCUGCUCGCGACGUUUUGUUAGCC